GACGAACGCUGGCGGCGCGCCUAACACAUGCAAGUCGAACGGAGUUAUGUUGACAGAAGCCUUCGGGUGGAAGAUGAUAUAACUUAGUGGCGGACGGGUGAGUAACACGUGAGCAACCUGCCUAUCAGAGGGGGGUAACGUUCUGAAAGAACGCUAAUACCGCAUAAUGUACGAAAGGGACAUCCCAUUUGUACCAAAGGAGCAAUCCGCUGAUAGAUGGGCUCGCGUCCGAUUAGGUAGUUGGUGAGGUAACGGCUCACCAAGCCGACGAUCGGUGGCCGGACUGAGAGGUUGAACGGCCACAUUGGGACUGAGACACGGCCCAG
rnacentral:rRNA from 1 species